rnacentral:tRNA from 1 species
AGGCGCGUAGCUCAGUUGGUUAGAGCGCUACCUUGACAUGGUAGAGGUCGGGGAUUCGAAUUCCUCCGCGCCUACCA